rnacentral:ncRNA from 1 species
GGACCGGCAGGUACGGACCAAUGCCACAUUAUUUGUUGGAGCGACCAGUGGUAGGCCGUUACUUCCGUUGGAUUAUGCCGGAACGCUUCUAAGGUGGUAUCCGUGUUGGACUGCAAUGAUAAAUAAGGGGCAAUUUGCAUGGUAUGGCUUCUAAACCAUUAAAAGUUUUUAAUUUGUUUUAUUAAGGCCAAUGGAUGUGAUGCCAAUGUUAUUUAUAACAUAGUAAAUUGGGAGGAUCUUCGAUCACCUGAUGCCGCGCUAGUUAUAUUUUAAAACAUUAUUUAAUACAAUGUCAAAGCCUAGAAUCAAUUGUAAACGACUUUUGUAACAGGCAAGGUGUUGUAAGUGGUUGAGCAGCUGCCAUACUGCGAUCCACUGAAGCUUAUCCUUUGCUUGAUGAUUCGA